AGCUGAAAGGAUCCUGUCAUCAUGUUCUGACUUAGAUUUGAUUGCUCUAAACAAGAGUUAAGAUGUGUGUUAAAAUCACUGACCAUUCAUUAUAUAGUGCCUUAAUAGUGCUUUGGUAGAUGAGUAGGUGGAGUAUUUGAUGUUGCAAGAAUGAUAUGAAAAAGGAGGGAGUGCCUUGUAAGAGUGAGGUCUUCUCUUUUCCGUUAUUAAUAUAUAGUCUAUGUACUCGCAGUUAUUCAUUUAUAUUUCUUUCUGCAGUAGAUUUUACUUCUUUCUGUAAUGAUAUGUUUUUUUCGCAGGGUGUUUAUCUUAAUUGUGUUUGACUUGUGAUGGAAAGAGAAAUAGAGCCCAUCUGUACUGAAAAAGGAGGCCUGAAGAUCCAAAGAGAGAAAAGCUUCAGUAUCAGAGGGAGUUGUACGUGCUGGGGCAUUCCGUCGAUCAGAUGCGCCUUCAGUAGCCCCUGGACCAAUCAAUUCUUGUUUCUCGUGGAAUGUGGCAAUUCCUACGUGCGGUAAAUGCAUAUGAGCGAGAGUUGUGUACGUGCUGGAGCAUUCUGUACUGGUGGUAUAGCCAAUAACUCGCAGUUACGUUGGUGGAUCAGGUGCGCCUCCACUCCAGUAGCCCCCCGGAUGAAUCAAUUCUGGGUUUUCUCUGUGGAAUGUGCAAGUAUUUACUUGCGGUAAAUGCAUCGACAAGUUGUUAUGCAGUUGGACAGUCCCGUCGACCGUGCUGCUGAAGUCAGCUGUGAUGGCAUGAGAAGAACGUUUUCUUGACAGGACGUGUUUGCAGGAACAAUUUGCGAACCGAAGCGUAAAUGCUAGGGCCCUGCUGCACUUAAUCGAACAGGAAGAGAGGAGAUUUUAAAAAGAAAUCGUAGCGAAUGGGCAGCAAUAACUUCUCAACGCACAUCCUGACAAGUCCAUUGCUCCUCAGUAACACAGGUAGUAACAGUAGAAGUAGUUUUAUUUAUUUGUCUAUGGGCUCCUUGGCCUCUUGCAGUAUUUUACUGUGUUGUGCUACACAAUUACUACUACAUUCUUCAGCUAGUUGUUAGUUUUUUUCUUUUUUGCACUGAAGCUAGUAGUUAGUUUGUUACUGCCACUGAAAAAAAUACCGGCGCUUGAUACAGGU